ensembl:misc_RNA Metazoa_SRP Metazoan signal recognition particle RNA
GCUGGGCGUGGUGGCGCACGCCUGUAAUCCCAGAUACUUGGGAGGCUGAGGCAGGAGAAUCGCUUGAACUUGGGAGGCGGAGGUUGCAGUGAGCCGAGAUCACACCACUGCACUCCAGCCUGGGUGACAGAGUGAGACUCGGUCUCAA